rnacentral:misc_RNA from 1 species
UUUCUGUAGGUGAACCUGCGGAAGGAUCAUUAGUUAUAUAAGGCCGCAGGACAAGCUUUCCGAAAGGAUCGAGCUUGCUGUGUGAACCCUACCUACCCUUGCUUUUUGCGUACCCAUUGUUUCCUCGGCAGGCUUGCCUGCCAGUAGGACCCUCUUAAACCCUUUGUAAUUGCAGUCAGCGUCAGAAGCAACGUAAUCGUUACAACUUUCAACAACGGAUCUCUUGGUUCUG